AGAGUUUGAUCAUGGCUCAGAACGUACGCUGGCGGCACGCCUUAUACAUGCAAGUCGAACGCAGUAGCAAUACUGAGUGGCAAACGGGUGAGUAUAAUGUGGGUAUCUGCCUUUUGGUUUGGAAUAACAUGAGGAAACUUGUGCUAAUACCGGAUAAGCCUUCACAGGGAAAGUUUUAUACGCCGAAAGAUGAGCCCGCACUUGAUUAGUUUGUUGGUGAGGUAAUGGCUCACCAAGACAAUUAUCAAUAGCUGGUCUGAGAGGAUGAUCAGCCACACUGGGACUGAGACACGGCCCAGACUCCUACGGGAGGCAGCAGUGGGGAAUUUUCCGCAAUGGGCGAAAGCCUGACGGAGCAACGCCGCGUGAGGGACGAAGGCCUCUGGGCUGUAAACCUCUUUUCUCAAGGAAGAAGAUAUGACGGUACUUGAGGAAUAAGCCACGGCUAAUUCCGUGCCAGCAGCCGCGGUAAUACGGGAGUGGCAAGCGUUAUCCGGAAUUAUUGGGCGUAAAGCGUCCGCAGGCGGCUUUUCAAGUCUGCUGUUAAAGCGUGGAGCUUAACUCCAUCAUGGCAGUGGAAACUGAAAGGCUUGAGUAUGGUAGGGGCAGAGGGAAUUCCCGGUGUAGCGGUGAAAUGCGUAGAUAUCGGGAAGAACACCAGUGGCGAAGGCGCUCUGCUGGGCCAUUACUGACGCUCAUGGACGAAAGCCAGGGGAGCGAAAGGGAUUAGAUACCCCUGUAGUCCUGGCCGUAAACGAUGAACACUAGGUGUCGGGGGAAUCGACCCCUUUCGGUGUCGUAGCUAACGCGUUAAGUGUUCCGCCUGGGGAGUACGCACGCAAGUGUGAAACUCAAAGGAAUUGACGGGGGCCCGCACAAGCGGUGGAGUAUGUGGUUUAAUUCGAUGCAACGCGAAGAACCUUACCAGGGUUUGACAUCCUGCGAACCUCUUAGAAAUUUGAGGGUGCCUUCGGGAAUGCAGUGACAGGUGGUGCAUGGCUGUCGUCAGCUCGUGUCGUGAGAUGUUGGGUUAAGUCCCGCAACGAGCGCAACCCACGUUUUUAGUUGCCAGCAUUUAGUUGGGCACUCUAGAAAGACCGCCGGUGAUAAACCGGAGGAAGGUGUGGAUGACGUCAAGUCAUCAUGCCCCUUACACCCUGGGCUACACACGUACUACAAUGCUACGGACAAAGGGCAGCAAACUCGCGAGAGCUAGCAAAUCCCAUAAACCGUGGCUCAGUUCAGAUCGUAGGCUGCAACUCGCCUACGUGAAGUAGGAAUCGCUAGUAAUCGCAGGUCAGCAUACUGCGGUGAAUACGUUCCCGGGCCUUGUACACACCGCCCGUCACACCAUGGAAGUUGGCCAUGCCCGAAGUCGUUACUCCAACCCUUGUGGAGGAGGACGCCGAAGGUGGGGCUAAUGACUGGGGUGAAGUCAUAACAAGGUAGCCGUA
rnacentral:rRNA from 1 species